AACAGAAUAACUGAUGACAUCAGAGCUACAAUAGUGGACCAUGUCAUCAACCAUGGGAUGACCCUGAGGGAAGCUGGCCAACGGGUUCAGCCUAAACUGAGCCGCUACACUGUGGCAGGCAUCAUUAGGACAUUUCGAAAUGAGAAUCGAAUUGCUAGACGUCCAGAUGUUGGGGGCAGAGGCAGAAUGUUCACUGCAGAGCAAGAGACCCAUAUAGUGAACAUGAACAAGAAUGAAGCAAAUUUACAGAGUUCCUUUCGAGAGAAACACAGAACGUGUAAAGCAACUGCGAUAUGACUAUGUGCAGAGAGUGAUGGAACUAGAAGCAGAUGCAAUGGGACAUGAGCU